UACAGAGGUCUCAAGCGUUGUUCGGAUUCAUUGGGCGUAAAGGGUGUGUAGGUGGCGCGCUAAGUCGGGUGUGAAAUUUCGGAGCUUAACUCCGAAACUGCAUUCGAUACUGGCGUGCUUGAGGACUGGAGAGGAGACUGGAAUUUACGGUGUAGCGGUGAAAUGCGUAGAGAUCAUGAGGAAGACCAGUGGCGAAGGCGGGUCUCUGGACAGUUCCUGACACUGAGACACGAAGGCCAGGGGAGCAAACGGG
rnacentral:rRNA from 1 species